rnacentral:rRNA from 1 species
UACGAAGGGUGCAAACGUUGCUCGGAAUCAUUGGGCGUAAAGCGCACGUAGGCGGCCUCGCAAGUUGGAUGUGAAAUCCCUCGGCUCAACCGAGGACGUGCAUCCAAAACUGCUUGGCUUGAGUACUGAAGAGGAUCGCGGAAUUCCCGGUGUAGAGGUGAAAUGCGUAGAUAUCGUGAGGAACACCAGAGGCGAAGGCGGUUACCUGGACAGUUACUGACGCUCAGGCACGAAAGCAUGGGGAGCAAAAGGG